rnacentral:rRNA from 1 species
UGGGGAAUAUUGGACAAUGGGCGCAAGCCUGAUCCAGCAAUGCCGCGUGGGUGAAGAAGGCCUGCGGGUUGUAAAGCCCUUUAAGUGGGGAGGAACGGCGGGAUGCGAACAGUGUUCUGCUCUGACGUUACCCACAGAAUAAGCACCGGCUAACUCCGUGCCAGCAGCCGCGGUAAUACGGGGGGUGCAAGCGUUAAUCGGAAUUACUGGGCGUAAAGCGUGCGUAGGCGGUUUGGUCAGUCAGCCGUGAAAGCCCUGGGCUUAACCUGGGAACUGCGGUUGAGACGGCCAGACUCGAGGGGGCUAGAGGAUCGUGGAAUUCCCGGUGUAGCGGUGAAAUGCGUAGAGAUCGGGAGGAACACCGAUGGCGAAGGCAGCGGUCUGGGGCCACACUGACGCUGAGGCACGAAAGCGUGGGGAGCAAACA